rnacentral:rRNA from 1 species
GGAGGCAGCAGUAGGGAAUCUUCCGCAAUGGACGAAAGUCUGACGGAGCAACGCCGCGUGAGUGAUGAAGGCUUUCGGGUUGUAAAACUCUGUUGUUAGGGAAGAACAAGUGCUAGUUGAAUAAGCUGGCCCCUUGACGGUACCUAACCAGAAAGCCACGGCUAACUACGUGCCAGCAGCCGCGGUAAUACGUAGGUGGCAAGCGUUAUCCGGAAUUAUUGGGCGUAAAGCGCGCGCAGGUGGUUUCUUAAGUUUGAUGUGAAAGCCCACGGGUCAACCGUGGAGGGUCAUUGGAAACUGGGAGACUUGAGUGCAGAAGAGGAAAGUGGAAUUCCAUGUGUAGCGGUGAAAUGCGUAGAGAUAUGGAGGAACACCAGUGGCGAAGGCGACUUUCUGGUCUGUAACUGACACUGAGGCGCGAAAGCGUGGGGAGCAAACAGGAUUAGAUACCCUGGUAGUCCACGCCGUAAACGAUGAGUGCUAAGUG